rnacentral:rRNA from 1 species
GAUGAACGCUAGCGGGAGGCCUAACACAUGCAAGCCGAGCGGUAUUGUUUCUUCGGAAAUGAGAGAGCGGCGUACGGGUGCGGAACACGUGUGCAACCUGCCUUUAUCUGGGGGAUAGCCUUUCGAAAGGAAGGUUAAUACUCCAUAAUAUAAUGAACGGCAUCGUUUAAUAUUGAAAGCUCCGGCGGAUAGAGAUGGGCACGCGCAAGAUUAGCUAGUUGGUGAGGUGACGGCUCACCAAGGCGAUGAUCCUUAGGGGGCCUGAGAGGGUGAUCCCCCACACUGGUACUGAGACACGGACCAGACUCCUACGGGAGGCAGCAGUGAGGAAUAUUGGUCAAUGGGUGCAAGCCUGAACCAGCCAUCCCGCGUGAAGGACGACUGCCCUAUGGGUUGUAAACUUCUUUUGUAUAGGGAUAAACCUACUCUCGUGAGGGUAGCUGAAGGUACUAUACGAAUAAGCACCGGCUAACUCCGUGCCAGCAGCCGCGGUAACAC